rnacentral:rRNA from 1 species
CCAGACUCCUACGGGAGGCAGCAGUGGGGAAUCUUCCGCAAUGGACGAAAGUCUGACGGAGCAACGCCGCGUGAGUGAUGACGGCCUUCGGGUUGUAAAGCUCUGUUAAUCGGGACGAAUGGUUCUUGUGCGAAUAGUGCGAGGAUUUGACGGUACCGGAAUAGAAAGCCACGGCUAACUACGUGCCAGCAGCCGCGGUAAUACGUAGGUGGCAAGCGUUGUCCGGAAUUAUUGGGCGUAAAGCGCGCGCAGGCGGAUUGGUCAGUCUGUCUUAAAAGUUCGGGGCUUAACCCCGUGAUGGGAUGGAAACUGCCAAUCUAGAGUAUCGGAGAGGAAAGUGGAAUUCCUAGUGUAGCGGUGAAAUGCGUAGAUAUUAGGAAGAACACCAGUGGCGAAGGCGACUUUCUGGACGAAAACUGACGCUGAGGCGCGAAAGCCAGGGGAGCGAACGGGAUUAGAUACCCCGGUAGUCCUGGCCGUAAACGAUGGGUACUAGGUGUAGGAGGUAUCGACCCCUUCUGUGCCGGAGUUAACGCAAUAAGUACCCCGCCUGGGGAGUACGACCGCAAGGUUGAAACUCAAAGGAAUUGACGGGGGCCCGCACAAG